rnacentral:rRNA from 1 species
UAUUCGGAAUUAUUGGGCGUCAAGGGCGCGUAGGCGGCCUGGCAAGUGGAAGGUGAAAUCCCUCGGCUUAACCGAGGAACUGCCCUCCAAACUGCUUGGCUUGAGACCGGGAGAGGUGAGUGGAAUUCCCAGUGUAGCGGUGAAAUGCGUAGAUAUUGGGAGGAACACCAGUGGCGAAGGCGGCUCACUGGACCGGUACUGACGCUGAGGCGCGAAAGCGUGGGGAGCAAACAGG